rnacentral:lncRNA from 1 species
UCCAUACCCCCGAGCUAAUAUCGAGGCCAACAGCUGAAAUAGAAGCUUACCAAGAACCCAAAUCGGACGAGGUGGCUAUAGUGGAAAACGUAGUAUCAGAUCCAGAAAUGGUGGAUUUGACAGAUAGUGAUUCAGACACUAAAGUUGAAGCUACUCAAGCAUCAACGAAAGUGCAGGAUCUGGUGAACAAGGUUUCUUCACUAGAAAGGUUGUGGGAGAAAGAAAAGUUGCUACGUCGGCAUUAAUAGAAACAAUGGAAGAGCAAGAUAAGCUCAAAAUUCAAAUUGACCAGAUGGGAGCCUCAAGCAACACAUCGUGUGCAGCUCCGAGAGGUAAGGGAAAAAGAAAGAUAGAAGAUCCUGACUUAUGAAAACCUGAUAAGAAGAAAGGGAAGAAGAUAUGUUAUAUUUGCGGCUGUGAGGGACAUACCUCUCCUCGUUGCCCCAACUAUAAGCAAGGUGGAUGUUUUAAUUGUGGAAUGGAAGGACAUCGAGCGAAUGAAUGUCCGAGAAGAAGGCUUAGUAAAUAGGUAGUAUAGGUUAUGUUAUGUAAUAUAUAUGAUAAGUAAUGAACUAUAUUUCAACCUUUGUGUUGAUCAAGUUUAUAAAUCCCGACUUUUGAGUCACAAAGGGAUAGCUGAUGUUUAAAGCAAUAUGUGCUAUGGUAUGUUAAGUUCUAUUAAUGUGAGGUGCUAUGGUUGGAAGUACCAUGAGUGUCACAAGUUGGAUUAAUGAAGUAAGUUGUUAUAAAGAUAGCAGAUAUUUAUCUGAAUAUUGGUUAAUAUAGUAAACCAAGUUUCAAAAUUUAAUAUUUUAGAAUAUAUGAUUAUUUGAGUAGAAAAUUCUGUGUUAUAUAUCGAACGUAUACGAUGAGGCUUAGAAUGUAAGGAAAUGAAGAAUAAUUUACGAUUAUGUCACCAAGACGAAAACGAAAACCAGCUGCGGAAGAUCAACCAGAUAAUCGAACAACGAACGCCAAAGACUUUAAGUCAAUCUUGUUGCUAGGGUAUAAAGGAUUAAGUGACUCAGUAGAAGCGUUUAUGAUAGUUAGGAUAACGGAAAGGGCAAAAGAUAACUUUUAUCAAUUAUACGAUAAAAGGGAAAUGAGAUAAAGAGAAAGUUUGUGGGCAGAAGAGACAUAUCUCUUCCAAUUGUCUCAAUUCAAGAAUGUAUAGCGAAUGUUUUAUUUGUGAAUCAAUGGAGUAUAAGGUGAAAGAUUUUUCAAGGAGGAGAAAUGAGAUAAGGAAUGUGAAUACGAGAAAUGACAGCAAGAUAUAGGCGACAACGAAAUAAACCGUAAGUGUCCUCAUUAUGGUCGUUCAAGAUAUCGUAGCAGUUGAGGAUACGGUGGCAGCUGGAAACAGAACUCCAGGUGCUAUUUGAAUAACUUAUAUAUCUUAUAUGAUUUUCCUGUAUAUAUA